AUUGAACGCUGGCGGCAUGCUUUACACAUGCAAGUCGAACGGUAACAGGCCGCAAGGUGCUGACGAGUGGCGAACGGGUGAGUAAUGCAUCGGAACGUGCCCAGUCGUGGGGGAUAACGCAGCGAAAGCUGCGCUAAUACCGCAUACGAUCUCUGGAUGAAAGCGGGGGACCGAAAGGCCUCGCGCGAUUGGAGCGGGCGAUGUCAGAUUAGGUAGUUGGUGGGGUAAAGGCUCACCAAGCCAACGAUCUGUAGCUGGUCUGAGAGGACGACCAGCCACACUGGGACUGGAACACGGCCCAGACUCCUACGGGAGGCAGCAGUGGGGAAUUUUGGACAAUGGGCGCAAGCCUGAUCCAGCAAUGCCGCGUGCAGGAGGAAGGCCUUCGGGUUGUAAACUGCUUUUGUACGGAACGAAACGGUCCUGGUUAAUACCUGGGGCUAAUGACGGUACCGUAAGAAUAAGCACCGGCUAACUACGUGCCAGCCGCCGCAGUAAAAC
rnacentral:rRNA from 1 species